rnacentral:miRNA from 1 species
UUACGCACGGGAAAAUGCACCACAUUUGGGCCGAAAGUGGUGCAUUUUCCCGUGCGUAA